UGUGGAUUCGAUAGGUUGAAC
rnacentral:piRNA from 1 species